GAGUUUGAUCCUGGCUCAGAUUGAACGCUAGCGGCAUGCCUUACACAUGCAAGUCGAACGGCAGCGGACCUUCGGGUGCCGGCGAGUGGCGAACGGGUGAGUAAUACAUCGGAACGUACCCAGUAGCGGGGGAUAGCCCGGCGAAAGCCGGAUUAAUACCGCAUACGCCCUACGGGGGAAAGGGGGGGAUCGCAAGACCUCUCACUAUUGGAGCGGCCGAUGGCUGAUUAGCUAGUUGGUGGGGUAAAGGCCUACCAAGGCGACGAUCAGUAGCUGGUCUGAGAGGACGACCAGCCACACUGGGACUGAGACACGGCCCAGACUCCUACGGGAGGCAGCAGUGGGGAAUUUUGGACAAUGGGCGAAAGCCUGAUCCAGCAAUGCCGCGUGUGCGAAGAAGGCCUUCGGGUUGUAAAGCACUUUUGUCAGGAAAGAAAGCGUUUGGGCUAAUACCCCGAGCGUUUGACGGUACCUGAAGAAUAAGCACCGGCUAACUACGUGCCAGCAGCCGCGGUAAUACGUAGGGUGCAAGCGUUAAUCGGAAUUACUGGGCGUAAAGCGUGCGCAGGUGGUUUGUUAAGACAGUUGUGAAAUCCUCGGGCUUAAUCUGGGAACUGCAAUUGUAACUGGCAGGCUAGAGUUUGGCAGAGGGGGGUGGAAUUCCUGGUGUAGCAGUGAAAUGCGUAGAUAUCAGGAGGAACAUCGAUGGCGAAGGCAGCCCCCUGGGCUCAUGACUGACACUCAUGCACGAAAGCGUGGGGAGCAAACAGGAUUAGAUACUCUGGUAGUCCACGCCCUAAACGAUGUCUAUUAGUUGUUGGGUCUUCAUUGACUUAGUAACGAAGCUAAACGCGUGAAAUAGACCGCCUGGGGAGUACGGCCGCAAGGUUAAAACUCAAAGGAAUUGACGGGGACCCGCACAAGCGGUGGAUGAUGUGGAUUAAUUCGAUGCAACGCGAAAAACCUUACCUACCCUUGACAUGCUAGGAAUUCUGCAGAGAUGCGGAAGUGCUCGAAAGAGAACCUGGACACAGGUGCUGCAUGGCUGUCGUCAGCUCGUGUCGUAAGAUGUUGGGUUAAGUCCCGCAACGAGCGCAACCCUUGUCAUUAGUUGCUACGAAAGGGCACUCUAAUGAGACUGCCGGUGACAAACCGGAGGAAGGUGGGGAUGACGUCAAGUCCUCAUGGCCCUUAUGGGUAGGGCUUCACACGUCAUACAAUGGUCGGUACAGAGGGCUGCCAACCCGCGAGGGGGAGCCAAUCCUUUAAAACCGAUCGUAGUCCGGAUUGUAGUCUGCAACUCGACUACAUGAAGUCGGAAUCGCUAGUAAUCGCGGAUCAGAAUGUCGCGGUGAAUACGUUCCCGGGUCUUGUACACACCGCCCGUCACACCAUGGGAGCGGGUUUUACCAGAAGUAGCUAGCUUAACCUUCGGGAGGGCGGUUACCACGGUAGGAUUCGUGACUGGGGUGAAGUCGUAACAAGGUAACC
rnacentral:rRNA from 1 species